GACGAACGCUGGCGGCGUGCUUAACACAUGCAAGUCGAACGAGGCUCCUUCUUCGGUUGGGGUUCUAGUGGCGAACGGGUGAGUAACACGUGGGCAACCUGCCCCUGGCUCUGGGAUAACUCCAAGAAAUUGGGGCUAAUACCGGAUAUGACCGCUGAUCGCAUGGUCUGGUGGUGGAAAGAUUUAUCGGCUGGGGAUGGGCCCGCGGCCUAUCAGCUAGUUGGCGAGGUAACGGCUCACCAAGGCUAAGACGGGUAGCUGGUCUGAGAGGAUGAUCAGCCACACUGGAACUGAGACACGGUCCAGACACCUACGGGUGCAGCAGUUUCGAAUCAUUCACAAUGGGCGAAAGCCUGAUGGUGCGACGCCGCGUGAGGGAUGAAGGUCUU
rnacentral:rRNA from 1 species